UUAAUAUUUGUUUUUACUGAAGAUACUGCUACUACAAAGGUUUUUGUUGGUCCUCAUGGCAGGCAAGCCCACCGAGGAAACGAACGGUACUCGUAAACAAAGGGUGCCAUCUGGCGCGUUUUAAGGCCGCCGCCGUGCAAGCAUUUCUGCAAGCACCAUUAAUGAUCCUUCCGCAGGUUCACCUACGGAAA
rnacentral:misc_RNA from 1 species